rnacentral:rRNA from 1 species
UACAGAGGUCCCAAGCGUUGUUCGGAUUUACUGGGCGUAAAGGGUGCGUAGGUGGCGGGGUAAGUCUGGUGUGAAAGCUCCGAGCUCAACUCGGAAAAGCAUUGGAAACUAUCCCGCUUGAGGGUCGGAGGGGAGACUGGAAUUCUCGGUGUAGCAGUGAAAUGCGUAGAUAUCGAGAGGAACACCAGUGGCGAAGGCGGGUUGCUGGGCCGACACUGACGCUGAGGCGCGAAAGCCAGGGGAGCGAACGGG